UACAGGGGGGGCAAGCGUUGUUCGGAAUUACUGGGCGUAAAGGGUUCGUAGGUUGCCACUUAAGUCAGACGUGAAAUCCCUCAGCUUAACUGGGGAACUGCGUCUGAUACUGAGUGGCUUGAGUGCAGGAGAGGAAUGCGGAAUUCCAGGUGUAGCGGUGAAAUGCGUAGAUAUCUGGAGGAACACCGGUGGCGAAGGCGGCAUUCUGGACUGUAACUGACACUGAGGAACGAAAGCCAGGGGAGCAAACGGG
rnacentral:rRNA from 1 species